UAAAAUCAUUACAUUUUCCCUUUAUUUUAUGUAUUCUAUACAAUAAAAAUGACAAACAUGGCAUGUACAUAACAUCCCCAGCCAAAGCUAAAAACCAACAACAACUAAGAAUACAUUAGUAGUAUUUGACAAGCAUGCCUCAUCUUCUCUUUGGAUUCACUAUCUCUUAAAAUACUCUGGUGGUAUUUGAGAUACCAAUUGCUUCAUUCAAAACAAUCUCCUCAUUAAUGCUUCUCUCUGUCAACAAUCUCACUUUGCAACACUUCAUAUGACCUGAAUCAAAAUAAGUAUUAAAAUUAUGACUCACUAUGUUUUUUCAGCGAAAACUUUUACCAAACAUGUGGCAGGCACGAAAUACAUCUAAGAACUGUUUUAGCAUAAAUGCAUGUUAAGACCACAAAAAUUGAUCAUGGAGUCGACUUUUAGGGUUGCAUAACCAUGAAAUGGAUAAUUAAUUGAAGAAUUGAAUAGAAAAAAUAACGAACAAUGAGAUUUCGAGAUAGUGCCAUCAACACCAAAUGAUCAACUAAAAAAAACACAGAUGUUGUAAAGAGUUGAUGAAAAGAAAAAUUUAGACAAGAAAAAAGGAAAAGAAAUUAGAUGUUCAAUCAAUUUGUUUGUGGACCCAAGUUUUGUGCUUUGUGUGAGAAAAUAAAUGAUAAGUUUUAAAAAGUACGUUUUAUUAGGUAAGAGAAAAUUAAGAAAAAUAGCAAAAUAAUACUAAC
rnacentral:lncRNA from 1 species